ACCUUCGGGCCUCUUGCCAUCGGAUGUGCCCAGAUGGGAUUAGCUAGUAGGUGGGGUAACGGCUCACCUAGGCGACGAUCCCUAGCUGGUCUGAGAGGAUGACCAGCCACACUGGAACUGAGACACGGUCCAGACUCCUACGGGAGGCAGCAGUGGGGAAUAUUGCACAAUGGGCGCAAGCCUGAUGCAGCCAUGCCGCGUGUAUGAAGAAGGCCUUCGGGUUGUAAAGUACUUUCAGCGGGGAGGAAGGGAGUAAAGUUAAUACCUUUGCUCAUUGACGUUACCCGCAGAAGAAGCACCGGCUAACUCCGUGCCAGCAGCCGCGGUAAUACGGAGGGUGCAAGCGUUAAUCGGAAUUACUGGGCGUAAAGCGCACGCAGGCGGUUUGUUAAGUCAGAUGUGAAAUCCCCGGGCUCAACCUGGGAACUGCAUCUGAUACUGGCAAGCUUGAGUCUCGUAGAGGGGGGUAGAAUUCCAGGUGUAGCGGUGAAAUGCGUAGAGAUCUGGNAGNGAAUACCGGUGGCGAAGGCGGCCCCCUGGACGAAGACUGACGCUCAGGUGCGAAAGCGUGGGGAGCAAACAGGAUUAGAUACCCUGGUAGUCCACGCCGUAAACGAUGUCGACUUGGAGGUUGUGCCCUUGAGGCGUGGCUUCCGGAGCUAACGCGUUAAGUCGACCGCCUGGGGAGUACGNGCNCGCAAGGUUAAAACUCAAAUGAAUUGACGGGGGCCCGCACAAGCGGUGGAGCAUGUGGUUUAAUUCGAUGCAACGCGAAGAACCUUACCUGGUCUUGACAUCCACGGAAGUUUUCAGAGAUGAGAAUGUGCCUUCGGGAACCGUGAGACAGGUGCUGCAUGGCUGUCGUCAGCUCGUGCUGUGAAAUGUUGGGUUAAGUCCCGCAACGAGCGCAACCCUUAUCCUUUGUUGCCAGCGGUCCGGCCGGGAACUCAAAGGAGACUGCCAGUGAUAAACUGGAGGAAGGUGGGGAUGACGUCAGGUCAUCAUGGCCCUUACGAGUAGGGCUACACACGUGCUACAAUGGCGCAUACAAAGAGAAGCGACCUCGCGAGAGCAAGCGGACCUCAUAAAGUGCGUCGUAGUCCGGAUUGGAGUCUGCAACUCGACUCCAUGAAGUCGGAAUCGCUAGUAAUCGUAGAUCAGAAUGCUACGGUGAAUACGUUCCCGGGGCCUUGUACACACCGCCCGUCACACCAUGGGAGUGGGUUGCAAAAGAAGUAGGUAGCUUAACCCUUCGGGAGGGCGCUUACCACUUUGUGAUUCAUGACUGGGGUGAAGUCGUAACAGUAACC
rnacentral:rRNA from 3 species